UGGGGAAUAUUGGACAAUGGGGGCAACCCUGAUCCAGCCAUGCCGCGUGUGUGAAGAAGGCCUUCGGGUUGUAAAGCACUUUUGUCCGGAAAGAAAAGCACUGGGUUAAUACCCUGGUGUUAUGACGGUACCGGAAGAAUAAGCACCGGCUAACUUCGUGCCAGCAGCCGCGGUAAUACGAAGGGUGCAAGCGUUACUCGGAAUUACUGGGCGUAAAGCGUGCGUAGGUGGUGCGUUAAGUCUGUCGUGAAAGCCCCGGGCUCAACCUGGGAAUGGCGAUGGAUACUGGCGCGCUAGAGUGCGGUAGAGGAGAGUGGAAUUCCCGGUGUAGCAGUGAAAUGCGUAGAGAUCGGGAGGAACAUCAGUUGCGAAGGCGGCUCUCUGGACCAGCACUGACACUGAGGCACGAAAGCGUGGGGAGCAAACA
rnacentral:rRNA from 1 species